rnacentral:rRNA from 1 species
UGGGGAAUAUUGCACAAUGGACGAAAGUCUGAUGCAGCAACGCCGCGUGGAGGAUGACACAUUUCGGUGCGUAAACUCCUUUUAUAUAGGAAGAUAAUGACGGUACUAUAUGAAUAAGCACCGGCUAACUCCGUGCCAGCAGCCGCGGUAAUACGGAGGGUGCAAGCGUUACUCGGAAUCACUGGGCGUAAAGAGCGUGUAGGCGGGUAUAUAAGUCAGAAGUGAAAUCCAAUAGCUCAACUAUUGAACUGCUUUUGAAACUGUAUACCUAGAAUGUGGGAGAGGUAGAUGGAAUUUCUGGUGUAGGGGUAAAAUCCGUAGAGAUCAGAAGGAAUACCGAUUGCGAAGGCGAUCUACUGGAACAUUAUUGACGCUGAGACGCGAAAGCGUGGGGAGCAAACAGG